rnacentral:tRNA from 1 species
GAGGGUAUAGCACAAGUGGUAGAGCUCACGCUUAGCGUGUACAAGUCCUGGGUUCAAUCCCUAGUACCUCCA